UACAGAGAAAGUUAUGCAGUAAUGCAGCCUCAUGAAGCCACUGUCACCCCUAUUCAUAGCUCUGGGAUUUUAAACGGUCCUUCAGAGUUGUGUCUUCAUGGGGCAGAGAGAAACAGAAGUGGCUGUUAAUCUGACAGCCAAUACAUGGGAACAAAUGCCUUCUUCCCACACACGAGCCUGAAUAAAAGCAAAGAGAGGAAACACGGAGUUCCUCUUGAUCCUCCAAUCUCUGGAUCUUUCAUAAACUCCCAAGAACUUAUGACCUCAUUUUUUUAAAAAUAAAAACGGAACCAGUUCUAUAUA